UGCUUUUUCUUAUUUGUUUUGAAAACAAAAUAUAAAGUAAUACUUUAAAAAGCU
rnacentral:tRNA from 1 species